rnacentral:lncRNA from 1 species
ACAGACCCACUCGGUCAAGGGUCGGAGUGACGUACAUGGAAAACAAAGCCUACGGGGACAGGCUCAAGCCGCAGACAGCAGCAAGUAAAGCGCCUCGGCCCUGAAGCAUGGCAGCUAUCCCUUCCAGCGGCUCGCUCGUGGCUACCCAUGACUACUAUCGGCGACGUCUGGGCUCCUCGUCCAGCAACAGCUCCGGCGGAAGUGCAGAGUACCCGGGGGACGCCGUGCCCCACUCCCCGGGUCUUCCCAAAGCUGACUCGGGCCACUGGUGGGCCAGCUUCUUUUUCGGGAAAUCCACCCUCCCAUUCAUGGCCGCAGUGUUGGAGUCUCCUGAGCACUCGGCAGAAUCCCCCCAGGCCUCCAGAAGCCCGAUCUCCUGUGGCCUGGCUCCUGAAACCAUGAAGAAGCAGCCAGUCAUGCAUCCUAGCCAGACCAACAGCAGGGCCCCGUCCUGACCUGUCAGAAUCAGCAGACUGCCCAAGUUUAAGUGGUGCUAGACCAGAGCCCACCCUCUCAACCCUCCCUGUAAACUAGGAAGGCUAAACAGACAUGAGCAGGAGCUGGAGAGAGCCUAUUAGUUUACAGCACUGAGCUUUCCUGACCCCAUAACUGUGUCUUCCACAAAGCAGAAAAUAAACUCACAGCAGCCAUC